CCUACGGGAGGCAGCAGUGAGGAAUAUUGGUCAAUGGCCGGAAGGCUGAACCAGCCAAGCCGCGUGAAGGACGAAGGUGCCAAGCAUUGUAAACUUCUUUUGUCAAGGGACAAAAUCAGGCUCGAGAGCCUGACCGAGGGUACUUGAAGAAAAAGCAUCGGCUAACUCCGUGCCAGCAGACGCGGUAAUACGGAGGAUGCGAGCGUUAUCCGGUUGUAUUGGGUUUAGAGGGUGCGUAGGCGGACUGUUAAGUCAUCGGUAAAAGCCCGGGGCUCAACCCCGUCGAGCCGUUGAAACUGGCUGUCGUGCGAUGUCGAGAGGUAUGCGGAAUGCGCAGUGUAGCGGGGAAAUGCUGAGAGAUUGCGCAGAACUCCGAUUGAGAAGGCAGCAUACCGGCGGCGAUCUGACGCUGAGGCACGAAAGCGUGGGUAUCGAACAGGAUUAGAUACCCUUGUAGUC
rnacentral:rRNA from 1 species